rnacentral:lncRNA from 1 species
GCUUAGCUUAGUUGAAUCAUCGUGGUUUUAGUAUGAAUUUGAGGUUUUAAUCAAGUCAUAGGGUCUUAACAAGAUAAUUCCUAUCAAUUCAAUAAUAAAGAAAACAAAAAAAAAAUGGCACAUUAGAUACAAAAGCAAAUUAAAGAAAUAGUUAAAGAGAUAAUUCAAGAGGCCCGUGAGGAUCAACAUAAAGAUGAUUGAGCCAACUUGAUAUUUUGGCAUUAUCGCCACAAAGAAGAGCUUUCUGAAUACAAGAAAUUAUC